ensembl:lncRNA
GGCCUGGUCUGAUAACAGUGCCGGGGAAUGUUUGAUGACUGACUGACUGAUGGAGAGAAUCAAGGUGGUGGUUUUGAAAGGUUGAGAGGUCAUGCUGGCAGGGGGUGGUGUGUGACAGGCAGAAGGGCUGGGAGGCUUAUAACUGGAAAGGCAAGGGAGAAGCCGAGAAGGAAACUGUAAAACUAGAUCAGAGUUCAUAGACUGAGCCACAGGCUCAAGAUCCUGCCCGAAAGUCACCCCACACUUCGGGGGCUUUCGUUCGCCUCUUGUUGGAGGGGCAGUCCUGGGGUGGUCAGCCUGAGUUUGGGGCCGUGGCUGGGAGCAGGAGGAGAGCAGAGAGAGCCCCUCACAUUUGGUAGUUACUCCUUUGCUCACCAUCCUGACUCCUUAUCCGUCUCUGCCUAAUGUACUCCUGGUUCUCUUUUGCCCCUGCCGACGUUAGUUCAAGAUGCAUCUUCUUACUAGCUUUUAACCUUUGUCUUGUGGCCGCAGCUGCCGAGGGGGCUGAUGGCAGGGCUGUGGGCUUUGGCCAGCCUCGCCUCAGAAGCCCCUGCAGUGACGUGCAGCUGCGAUCGUGGCUGUCCCAGCUGAAGGAUUCUCUCCGCGGAGCCCACUGCCCUGUCCUGCGGCUGAGGACUUUCCAGGUGGCGCUAGUGGUGGAGAACCUGCCUGCCAGUGCAGGAGACAUAAGAGAUGAGUGUUCGAUCCUUGGGUUGGAAAGAUCCCUUGGAGAACGGAAAGACUACUCACUCCAGUAUUCUUGCCUGGAGAAUCCCAUGGACAGAGGAGCCUGGUGGGCUACAGUCCAUUGUGUUGCAGAGGUGGACAUGACUGAAGCGACUUAGCAUGCAUGCAUGCAUCUGACUUACUUAACAUUGUAUGAUAACCUCUUGGCUUGUUCAUGUUUCUGAAAUAAUCUUUGCCUUAUUCUUUAUCUCAGGGGGAAAAGGACUUACUAUUUCAUUAUUAAGUAUGAUGUUAGUUGUCGAUUUUUCACAGAUGUCUUUUUAUUGGAUUGAGAAAGUUUUCUUCUAUUUCUAGAUUUCUGUUUUUAUUACAAAUGAGUAUUGAAUUUCAUCAAAUGGCUUUUCAGCAUUUAUUGAGAUGAUUUUCUGCUUUGUUGUGUUAAUGUGGAGAACUGCCUCUGCCAACUUGGUGUAUGUAUAUACAUAUAAGCAUGCAUUUGGUUGUUUGAUUUGAUAAUGAUCUGUAAAGAUUUUUGUGAGUG